UACGGGGGGGGGCAAGCGUUGUUCGGAAUUAUUGGGCGUAAAGGGCGCGUAGGCGGCCUUGCAAGUGACGGGUGAAAUCCCUCGGCUUAACCGAGGAACUGCCUGUCAGACUGCAUGGCUUGAGACCGGGAGAGGUGAGUGGAAUUCCUAGUGUAGAGGUGAAAUUCGUAGAUAUUAGGAAGAACACCAGUGGCGAAGGCGGCUCACUGGCCCGGUACUGACGCUCAUGUGGCGAAAGCGUGGGGAGCAAACAGG
rnacentral:rRNA from 1 species